rnacentral:tRNA from 1 species
GGUGGCUCAGUGGUAGAGUGCUUGCCUUGCAUGCAUGAGGCCCUGGGUUUGAAUCUUCAGCACCA